ACAAUAUUCAAGAAGGAAAAUAUUUCUCCUCUCAAUCAAAAUCAGUGUCUGGCUCAGUCUCUGGCAUAAUUUCGUAGUUGUGGGCGACGCUUAAAUUCAUUGCUACAUAAAAACAUAAAAUUACAUUUCGAAUAAAUGCAUUCUCGUCCCCUCAUCACCAGAUGGUGCUGAAGACCUAUCUAGGUAGUGUUGCAGUACCCGCGCUGAACAGCAGGGUGCAGUGCUAAGACACCGUCUUCUCAGGUGCCAGCGGUGGGCCGCAGUGUUGAUGUGUGUGAUGUAUUCCGUCGCUGGCAGCCUCCUCGGACAGCUCCAGUCUGGAUGUGACCGGAAGGUAAAGCCUCCAGCCUGUGCUCAUCAGCUGCAAUCAAGGGAGCGGUAUUCUGAGGAGUGAUUUCUAUGCUAGAUCGUCAACCUACGUUCUUUGCCAGUGCCCUAUGGAAGACCCACUCCUCGACCUCCAGAUAUGUUUCUUAUGCCACACCUACUGUAGCUGUUCGCCUGGAUCCUCCAUCGAAUCCUCGCUUGCCUCUCCAACGCUCACCUCCAUCCCGGGUGGCUCGUCAACAGGAUGGCUCACUGCCCCUCCCAGCCAAACUGAACCCUUGUGGAUAGAGUUGCGUCCUUCUCUUCUCUUCACCAUCAACCGGAACAGUAAGACCUAUCUUCUUUGUUCACUGCGUGAAGAGUCUGUUCAGCAUGCACUCAAAUUCAACCCAGACUGGACUGUCUGCAUUGGAGUCUUUUCAGCACAUUCACUUUGGAAUAAACUUUGCUACUGCUGCUUGCACUAGAGUUUCCAAUGCAAUCGUCAGGGCAUUGUUGGGGUUAGGGUAAACUGUAUGCACGAUUAAAUUCACUUUCUCGUUUUUGCAAAGUGUUUUGAGAUGACGUGUUAUAAACCGGCACUCUAAACAAGUUGAUUGAAAUGCUAGAAUACUUUGUCUAUAAAAUAUGGUAGACUUUGUCACAAAAUGUCUUUGUCUGCAUUAAGGUACAAAGAUAGCAGCGUGUAUCUGAAAAAACAUAAUUUUGGUGUUUCUAGAACAUACUUUUUCAUAGGAACCCAAUCUGAAACGUUUGUGUAUUCACAUU